rnacentral:lncRNA from 1 species
CUUCUAAUGAACUCCUAUGUUGUGGUGAAGUCCUUAGGACUAUUUAGACUCGACAAAGGAGGAUUUGUCGUUUAGUCCUUAAAUCUGUUCGCGACCAAAUGAUAUGUUGUUACCAAGGACGACAAUAUUUAUCAAGCAUAGAUCGUUGUGUGCCAUAUAGGUUGGUUGUCCUCUUAACCAAUGAGUGUAGAGACACUGGUAUGGCAUACAGGUG